rnacentral:lncRNA from 1 species
UGAACAUAUGCAAUCCCUACUGCAGCUGCUGCCGAGAUGGCAAAGUGACGGGUGAGAAUCCUGUGCGCUCCAAGCACUGAGCCCGGCACCCUUCCUCCCUCCUUUAGGGAGGAGCUGCUUGUUUCAGUGACAGUGGAAAACGCUCGCAUUUAAAGAACGAGACAGGAUCCGGGGCACCCUGAGAAAAGACGCUUCCUGCAUUCGGUGGCUUCCAAAAUUCAUCAAGAAAUCACAUAACAGAGGGGUUCAGAAGAGGCGUCCCCCGGCGGUCAGGGUCAUAGAAAGACCAGACGUGAGUUUGUGUCUUUCAAGUCUGCGUUCGCGUGGAAGCUCACCCACUGCCCUGUGUUCAGGACGACUGUAACAGUAGAAGGCAUGACACCUGCCUGGGCUCAGGCCAACGCUUCCUGCGGCCCAGGAGCUGGACGCAUGAGGACCACCUCGGCACAGGACUGGAUGGACUGGUGGCCAGAUAAGCCCUGGCUGGGCUCUUGCAGCAAGAACACGACACUCCUGGGAGACAAAGGUGCCUCCAUGGCUGCACUGACGGUCUCCAGCGCAAGGGAGGAGAAACAGCAUUGGAGGAGACAAUAGUCUCCCUACGUGUGCAAGACACAGUGCCGAGGUCAUCUCCCCAGCACCUCAGCCCCUGCCCACUGCUGCUCAGGACAAGGCCAGAUGGCCCCAGGCAGCAGGGCACUCCACGCAGGGCUGGCCAGACGGACACAGGCCAUGUUCGGCAGGACACCACGUGGUGGGGUCGGGGGCUUGUAGCAGACACAUGGGCCGGCAGCCUCUCUCGUGUGAUGUUGCUGGCAGCUGUUGAUGGUCAAUACCCCGUCCAUU